rnacentral:rRNA from 1 species
GACGAACGCUGGCGGCGUGCCUAAUACAUGCAAGUAGAACGCACAGUUUAUACCGUAGCUUGCUACACCAUAGACUGUGAGUUGCGAACGGGUGAGUAACGCGUAGGUAACCUGCCUGGUAGCGGGGGAUAACUAUUGGAAACGAUAGCUAAUACCGCAUAAUAUUGAUUAUUGCAUGAUAAUUGAUUGAAAGAUGCUAUUGCAUCACUACCAGAUGGACCUGCGUUGUAUUAGCUAGUAGGUGAGGUAACGGCUCACCUAGGCGACGAUACAUAGCCGACCUGAGAGGGUGAUCGGCCACACUGGGACGGAGACACGGCCCAGACUCCUACGGGAGGCAGCAGUAGGGAAUCUUCGGCAAUAGACGAAAGUCUGACCGAGCAACGCCGCGUGAGUGAAGAAGGUUUUCGGAUCGUAAAGCUCUGUUGUAAGAGAAGAACGGGUGUGAGAGUGGAAAGUUCACACUGUGACGGUAUCUUACCAGAAAGGGACGGCUAACUACGUG